UACGUAGGGUGCAAGCGUUAAUCGGAAUUACUGGGCGUAAAGCGUGCGCAGGCGGUUUUGUAAGUCUGUCGUGAAAUCCCCGGGCUUAACCUGGGAAUUGCGAUGGAGACUGCAUAGCUAGAGUACGGUAGAGGGGGAUGGAAUUCCGCGUGUAGCAGUGAAAUGCGUAGAUAUGACGGAGGAACACCGAUGGCGAAGGCAAUCCCUGGACCUGUACUGACGCUCAUGCACGAAAGCGUGGGGAGCAAA
rnacentral:rRNA from 1 species